rnacentral:rRNA from 1 species
GAUGAACGCUGGCGGCGUGCCUAAUACAUGCAAGUCGAGCGAAUGGGUUAAGAGCUUGCUCUUAUGAAGUUAGCGGCGGACGGGUGAGUAACACGUGGGUAACCUGCCCAUAAGACUGGGAUAACUCCGGGAAACCGGGCUAAUACCGGAUAACAUUUUGAACCGCAUGGUUCGAAAUUGAAAGGCGGCUUCGGCUGUCACUUAUGGAUGGACCCGCGUCGCAUUAGCUAGUUGGUGAGGUAACGGCUCACCAAGGCAACGAUGCGUAGCCGACCUGAGAGGGGGAUCGGCCACACUGGGACUGGGACACGGCCCAGACUCCUACGGGAGGCAGCAGUAGGGAAUCUUCCGCAAUGGACGAAAGUCUGACGGAGCAACGCCGCGUGAGUGAUGAAGGCUUUCGGGUCGUAAAACUCUGUUGUUAGGGAAGAACAAGUGCUAGUUGAAUAAGCUGGCACCUUGACGGUACCUAACCAGAAAGCCACGGCUAACUACGUGCCAGCCGCCGCCGUAA